UCACCAUCCACCUGGUACUGUUUAGAUGAAGGGCCCGCCAGAGGCAGAGGGAUGGACAAAAUAACCUAUUGAAACUUCCGACCUUGAAAUUUUGUGAAAGUAAACCAGGAGUGUGAGCUUUCGACCUACUAACUAUCUCUGUGACCCCUGCUUCUUCGGCUCUAAAACAACUGUGAGAUAAGGGAGAAG